rnacentral:lncRNA from 1 species
UAAUAGCCCUUAAUUGGAAGAAGCCAAUGUUCCUAAUUCUGUCUCAUUUACGUUUCUAAAGACUUGUCUGAAAUCGUGGAUAUGGAGGAGGACUCGCCUGCUAAAAAGCGUCGCUAUGAGAGCAGAGAGGAGGGAGGUGCACCAUGUUCCAGUUGUGUGUCUAUAAAGACUACAAAUUCAAUGGAUCCACCCAAUAAUUUCAGAACUGGAGCUGUGAAUCCUGAAGCCAUAAAAGCAUCUGAAAUCAUGGAUAUGGAGCAUAACUCUCCUGCUAAAGAGCGUCGCUAUGAUAGGUGAGAGAAGACAAUUAAUUUAUUGGAUUCACCAACUAAUUUCAGAACUGGAGCUGUGAAUCCUGAAGCCACGUGAGAUUCUUUUUUUCAGUAGUUUCUCUGUACCUCUAAGAGAAAAAGAGGAGUUUUUGUUUUUUUGUUCCAAAACAGUUGCAACUGAGUGGAUAUCUGUUACAAACAUGCAAUAUUAGGUAUAUAAAUAUUUAUUAUAAUAAAAGAUUCUAUCUAAGGCCAUGCACAAGCAUAGAUAGAUCCCAAGUGUUACUCAAGCACCUUUUUAGUUUGGCCUUUGACUAGAUACGUACCCUUUUUACAAAUGUAACCUCCAGAUGGCACAGCCUUCACAAUGAGUGACACAGUUAAAGCCAACACAUUUAACACACUCAAAUCGAGCAGCAUCCUCAUCUUCCUGAUCGGUUUUUAUUGGUGACAGCCAGAUAGCAAUGUGUUUGUCACUGCUAUGAAAUUAAAUCAAUAAAAAAAACUGCCAGCCUAUUUUAGGCAUGUAGCAUCUCGACCAAUCUGACACACUAAUUUUUAUUUGAUUUAACAAAUCAAUUAUUCAUUAGAUUAACAAGUCGUCACAGUCCCCUCACUCAAUAUACUGGAUGCCAGGAUUUCGGCUGAACACCAUCCCCCACCUUGGUCACUAUGACAACUAAUCAUGAUAUCACUGGUUUUAUGGCCUAAAAGGAAUGCAGGGGAUAAACUCCCUCAUUUUCCUCAUAAGAAAGGCACAAAUGCACAGGAGAAACUGACUUUUCUACUAAUUAAUUCAUAGGAAAACCUUCUUUGAAUGAACACCCAUUUUCUUCAGGCCAUUGUGUAUAUUAUUACUGUGUUGUAUUUAAUCUGUUGUAUUAUAGACUAUUUUUAUUCAUGCUUACGAUAAACCACUCAUUCAUAUAAGUAACUCUACCAUGUCUAGUAUCUAUGAAUUCGCCUUCUGAUGAUCUAAACAAGA